ensembl:lncRNA
GGGAAGGAGAGAGAGGGAAGGAGAGGGAGGGAAGGAGAGGGAAGGAGAGAGAGGGAAGGAGAGGGAGGUAGAGGGAGGGAAGGAGAGGGAGGUAGAGAGAGGGAAGGAGAGGGAGGUAGAGGGAAGUAGAGAGAGGGAGGUAGAGGGAGGUAGAGAGAGGGAAGUAGAGAGAGGGAGGUAGAGAGAGGGAGAUAGAGAGAGGGAAGUAGAGGGAGGUAGAGAGAGAAAGAAGUAGAGGGAGGUAGAGAGAGGGAGGUAGAGGGAGGUAGAGAGUUAGGGAGGUAGAGAGAGGGAAGUAGAGGGAGGUAGAGAGGGGGAAGUAGAGGGAGGUAGAGAGAGGGAGAUAGAGAGAGGGAAGUAGAGGGAGGUAGAGAGAGGGAAGGAGAGGGAGGUAGAGAGAGGGAGAUAGAGAGAGGGAAGUAGAGGGAGGUAGAGAGAGGGAAGGAGAGGGAGGUAGAGAGAGGGAGGUAGAGAGAGGGAAGUAGAGGGAGGUAGAGAGAGGGAAGGAGAGGGAAGUAGAGUGAGGUAGAGAGAGGGAAGUAGAGGGAGGUAGAGAGAGGGAGGUAGAGAGAGGGAUGUAGAGGGAGGUAGAGAGAGGGAAGUAGAGGGAGGUAGAGAGAGGGAAGUAGAUGGAGGUAGAGAGAGGGAGGUAGAGGGAGGUAGACAGAGGGAAGUAGAGGGAGGUAGACAGAGGGAAGUAGAGGGAGGUAGACAGAGGGAAGCAGAGGGAGGUAGACAGAGGGAG